GCCGGUGGAAUGAGCGGCGGACGGGUGAGUAACACGUGGGCAACCUGCCUUUCAGACCGGAAUAACCCCGGGAAACCGGGGCUAAUGCCGGAUAAUCAAGCGGUUCGCAUGAACCGCUUGUAAAAGGGGGGAGUUUUCUCCUCCCACUGGAAGAUGGGCCCGCGGCGCAUUAGCUUGUUGGUGGGGUAACGGCCUACCAAGGCGACGAUGCGUAGCCGACCUGAGAGGGUGAUCGGCCACACUGGAACUGAGACACGGUCCAGACUCCUACGGGAGGCAGCAGUAGGGAAUCAUCCGCAAUGGGCGAAAGCCUGACGGUGCAACGCCGCGUGAACGAAGAAGGUUUUCGGAUCGUAAAGUUCUGUUGUGAGGGAAGAACACGUGCCGGUCGAACAGGCCGGCACCUUGACGGUACCUCACGAGAAAGCCCCGGCUAACUACGUGCCAGCAGCCGCGGUAAUACGUAGGGGGCAAGCGUUGUCCGGAAUUAUUGGGCGUAAAGCGCACGCAGGCGGUCUCGUAAGUCUGAUGUGAAAGCCCACGGCUCAACCGUGGAGGGUCAUUGGAAACUGGGAGACUUGAGUGUAGGAGAGGAAAGUGGAAUUCCACGUGUAGCGGUGAAAUGCGUAGAUAUGUGGAGGAACACCAGUGGCGAAGGCGACUUUCUGGCCUACAACUGACGCUGAGGUGCGAAAGCGUGGGGAGCAAACAGGAUUAGAUACCCUGGUAGUCCACGCCGUAAACGUUGAGUGCUAGGUGUUAGGGGUUUCGAUGCCCUUAGUGCCGAAGUUAACACAUUAAGCACUCCGCCUGGGGAGUACGGCCGCAAGGCUGAAACUCAAAGGAAUUGACGGGGGCCCGCACAAGCAGUGGAGCAUGUGGUUUAAUUCGACGCAACGCGAAGAACCUUACCAGGUCUUGACAUCCUUUGCCCGCUCUGGAGACAGAGUUUUCCCCUUCGGGGGACAAAGUGACAGGUGGUGCAUGGUUGUCGUCAGCUCGUGUCGUGAGAUGUUGGGUUAAGUCCCGCAACGAGCGCAACCCUUGACCUUAGUUGCCAGCAUUCAGUUGGGCACUCUAGGGUGACUGCCGGUGACAAACCCGGAGGAAGGU
rnacentral:rRNA from 1 species